AAUAUUGCGCAAUGGAGGGAACUCUGACGCAGCGACGCCGCGUGAGCGAUGAAGGCCUUCGGGUCGUAAAGCUCUGUCCUCAGGGAAGAAAAAUGACGGUACCUGAGAAGGAAGCCCCGGCUAACUACGUGCCAGCAGCCGCGGUAAUACGUAGGGGGCAAGCGUUGUCCGGAAUUAUUGGGCGUAAAGCGCGCGCAGGCGGUCCUUUAAGUCUGAUGUGAAAGCCCACGGCUCAACCGUGGAGGGUCAUUGGAAACUGGAGGACUUGAGUACAGAAGAGGAAAGCGGAAUUCCUAGUGUAGCGGUGAAAUGCGUAGAGAUUAGGAGGAACACCAGUGGCGAAGGCGACUUUCUGGACUGUAACUGACGCUGAGGUACGAAAGCGUGGGUAGCGAACA
rnacentral:rRNA from 1 species